GAUGAAGAACGCAGCGAAAUGCGAUAAGUAAUGUGAAUUGCAGAAUUCAGUGAAUCAUCGAAUCUUUGAACGCACAUUGCGCCCGCCAGUAUUCUGGCGGGCAUGCCUGUUCGAGCGUCAUUACAACCCUCAGGCCCCCGGGCCUGGCGUUGGGGAUCGGCGGAAGCCCCCUGCGGGCACAACGCCGUCCCCCAAAUACAGUGGCGGUCCCGCCGCAGCUUGCAUUGCGUAGUAGCUAACACCUCGCAACUGGAGAGCGGCGCGGCCACGCCGUAAAACACCCAACUUCUGAAUGUUGACCUCGAAUCAGGUAGGAAUACCCGCUGAACUUAAGCAUAUCAAUAAGCGGAGGA
rnacentral:misc_RNA from 1 species